rnacentral:tRNA from 1 species
GGAGGGAUCGCAUAGUGGCCUAGUGCGGCCGCCUGCUAAGCGGCUACAGGGGGAAACUUCUGUCGUGGGUUCGAAUCCCACUCCCUCCGCCA